rnacentral:rRNA from 1 species
UACAGAGGGUGCAAGCGUUGUUCGGAAUUAUUGGGCGUAAAGCGCGUGUAGGCGGUUUGUUAAGUCUGGUGUGAAAGCCCGGGGCUCAACCCCGGAAGUGCACUGGAUACUGGCAAGCUAGAGGACGAGAGAGGAGAGUAGAAUUCCUGGUGUAGGGGUGAAAUCCGUAGAUAUCAGGAGGAAUACCGGUGGCGAAGGUGGCUCUCGGGCUCGUUUUUGACGCUCAGACGCGAAAGCGUGGGUAGCAAACAGG